GGGCGUACUACAUAUUUUCACGUCCAAGGUCUUUGUUGCCAUAUCUGUGAAAUGCCACAAGAAUAUUGUUGCUAAACGAGUAGCAGUACUGAAAGCUCUAUCUUGCAAUAUAGUCUACUCAGCAACAAAGAGUGCUCCGGGAAGGAACGGAGGCUGUCUGUAAAUUGCAGUUUAAAACCAUAAUACCCCUGCAUUGAACUGUCGUCAGAUGGUUGCAGUUUUCUAAUCUGCAUUUUGUCUGAAGGAAAUGAGAAGCAGAAUUUCUCCUUCCUCCAAAGCCCUGUUAAUUUUAAUCCUUUUGCAUGGAGCUGGAUUCAUGCUGCGGCCAGAUUCAUUGUACUAAUACCAUUAGACAGAACUAUCUUUUUUAACUGAAGGAGCUGCAGUCCUGCAGGCUCACAUGUAUAGCUGGAGUCCUAGAUUUGGAGGCCUGAAUAUAAAGACUAGCCAACACCUUCUCAUUGCAUUCAUUCUGUGAUACUUAAUUUCUCUGCUACUGAAGGGCAGCUCUUUCUUGGAAAAAAUUGCCUUCUCCAUCACGUUUGGUCCACUUAUUGCAGGAUAGCUUAACAAGAUCUUUCUGCGAUCAGCAACAAGAUUUUUCCAGCAGAAUAUUUUUCUAUUCCUGAGCAUUUCACAAACCACCUCUGAUUUUC
rnacentral:lncRNA from 1 species